rnacentral:lncRNA from 1 species
GGGAAUCGUCCCAGUUCCAGUUGCAGCAAUGAUAGAUGGUUCCGAUUGCUGCAACAACCACUGAAUGGUCUCGCCAUCGGAUUUGUGACCCAAUUCUCGGGUCAAUUGGAAAAUCCUGGCGGCGCACAGAGCAGGCAUCCUUAUUCUUCUACCUCUGCCAUCUACUUUCUUGUGCCUGUCUUUGUUUGAGCUUCUUUUGGGAGCUAGUUGCUUCUUGUUAUCAUCUUUGCUCGCAAUCAUGAUUUGCAAGUUUUUUAUUUCUGCAGGUUUAUUGUUCUCUGCUUUCUGAGGAGUCAAGCAGGUGGGCACCUCUUGUGGAUGAUGAUUUGAGCCCUUGCCCUUGC